CCCUUAGAUGUUCUGGGCCGCACGCGCGCUACACUGAACAGUUCAACAAGUCUUAACCUUGGCCGAUAGGUCUGGGUAAUCUUUGAACGCUGUUCGUGAUUGGGAUAGACCUUUGCAAUUAUGGGUCUUCAACGAGGAAUUCCUAGUAAACGCAAGUCAUCAGCUUGCAUUGAUUACGUCCCUGCCCUUUGUACACACCGCCCGUCGCACCUACCGAUUGAAUGGUCCGGUGAAAUCUCGGGACGGCUGAUUAACCGCUUGCGGUUGACGGCUGAAACUUGAUUAAACCAUAUCAUUUAGAGGAAGGUGAAGUCGUAACA
rnacentral:rRNA from 1 species